GCCUCGGUAGUCUAAAGGCUUAGGACGCUCGCACGAUAUGCAAGAGAUCCGGGUUCGACUCCCGGCCGAGGUA
rnacentral:tRNA from 1 species